GAGUGAAGCGGUAAAAGCUCAAAUUUGAAAUCUGGUACUUUCAGUGCCCGAGUUGUAAUUUGUAGAAUUUGUCUUUGAUUAGGUCCUUGUCUAUGUUCCUUGGAACAGGACGUCAUAGAGGGUGAGAAUCCCGUUUGGCGAGGAUACCUUUUCUCUGUAAGACUUUUUCGAAGAGUCGAGUUGUUUGGGAAUGCAGCUCAAAGUGGGUGGUAAAUUCCAUCUAAAGCUAAAUAUUGGCGAGAGACCGAUAGCGAACAAGUACAGUGAUGGAAAGAUGAAAAGAACUUUGAAAAGAGAGUGAAAAAGUACGUGAAAUUGUUGAAAGGGAAGGGCAUUUGAUCAGACAUGGUGUUUUUUGCAUGCACUCGCCUCUCGUGGGCUUGGGCCUCUCAAAAAUUUCACUGGGCCAACAUCAAUUCUGGCAGCAGGAUAAAUCAUUAAGAAUGUAGCUACUUCGGUAGUGUUAUAGCUUUUUGGAAUACUGUUAGCCGGGAUUGAGGACUGCGCUUCGGCAAGGAUGUUGGCAUAAUGGUUAAAUGCCGCCCGUCUUGA
rnacentral:rRNA from 1 species